CUUUGCAUUGCAUCAAAAGCUGUGCGUCCAACGAGGAAAAAUUUCAAGUGCUGCGAUACAAGCUGUAAGGCCUCUUACGAUUAGUUCUCAGAAAGCGAAAUGUAAUUGAAUGUGAUAUGAAAUGUUCUCAGAUAACAUCAGCGUAUCUCGGUUUACACUUCGUAAGCAACUUGGGGGACCAUUUUUGCUGCUGUGCACAAAAAAAGAAGAAGACAGAAACUAAAGGCGGCAAGACUCGAAGCCUGGGGAGCACGCCAGGAACUGACUGGAAUGAGAGAGGCCUUCAACAUUGCUCAAUUACGCCGGUCUUCGUGGUCACCAGGGAUGCAUGAAAUGUCACUGCCGAAGACACUUACCCCCUUCGGCAUCAGGAUUUGCGCAAAGGGGCGUCACGUCGCAGGAGCAUCUUCCAUACCUCUUCUAGACGGUUCGAAACGCUUUGCACGACGUGGCCUUGAAGCUGUCUCGGCUGUCGCUUUAGCUGUCUACGUAGGCUGUCUCCGAUGCCAG